AUACUACUCCCUCCGUCCGAAAAUACUUGUCAUCAAAAUGGACAAAAAGGGAUGUAUCUAGAACUAAAAUACAUCUAGAUACAUCCCAUUUUAUUCAUUUUGAUGACAAGUAUUUCCGGACGGAGGGAGUACAUU
rnacentral:pre_miRNA from 1 species